rnacentral:misc_RNA from 1 species
AACGCACAUUGCGCCUCCCGGUAUUCCGGGAGGCAUGCCUGUUCGAGCGUCAUCAAAAACCCUCAAGCUUGAAUUAAUUCAUUCUUGGUUUUGGACAUGGAGCGGUCUUUCCAGCCUGUUCCUAUCCGAAAUGCAUUGGCGAAGUGGUACAUGCCAUUCAGUGUAGUAAUCAACGUUAUGUUUCACUGUUGGUCAUGCCCUCUUCCGCCGUUAACCCCUUCUCCAUCUAAGUGUUUGACCUCGGAUCAGGUAGGGAUACCCGCUGAACUUAA